rnacentral:lncRNA from 1 species
UUUUUCAUGAGAAUUUCUUCCUGUGUUAAGAGAGGUGUCAGUUUCCAAAUACUAGGUUGCAUGUUUGUAACGGAGCUUUGUAUUGCAUUGUGAAAACCUCUGCACCUUGGUUGGCAUGGUCACAUGUCUGUUGACAGAUGUUUCAAAGUUCUGUGGGAAAUGUGGGUUCAAUUCGACACCUUCAAGGCCCUCCGAGCCUCUUUCCCUGACAACAUAGUGUGUUUCGAGAUAGGGAGCCAGCCUUGGGUGCAGCCCUAAAAACCAAAAAUAAAAUAAGAAUAAAAUAAGAUAGGGAGCCAGCUCUGGGAACAGAUCAUCGUUAUCUGUCAGCUCAAUAAAGCCAUCAAUGUUGGCAACUGGAAGAGAUGCUAACAUAUUUCAACUGGUUAAAAACAAACUGUGAGGAAUUCCCGUUGUGGCGCAGUGGUUAAUGAAUCCAACUAGGAACCAUGAGGUUGCGGGUUCGACCCCUGGCCUUGCUCGAUGGGUUAAAGGAUCUGACAUUUCUGUGAGCUUCAGUGUAGAUCUCCGAUGCAGCUUGUGUCUGGUGUUGCUGUGGCUGUGGCCAGUGACUGCAGCUCCUAUUUGACCCCUAGCCUGGGAACCUCCAUAUGCCUCGGGGGUGGCCCUAAAAAACAACAACAAAAGCUUGUCGAACAAAUGAAUGAAGCUGGUAGAAAGUGUUCAUAGUUCUCUGGUGGCUCAGUGGGCUAAGGAUCUGGCAUUGCCAUGGUGGCUCGGGUUUGAUCCCUGGCCCCGGGAACUGUGCAUUAAAUUCACUUUGGCUUAUUACACAGAAGGACAAAAGAAAAUUCGUUCUCUGCAGCUUGAACAACCACUGAUACCGAACGAAAUAUAAGGGCUUCGUAAAGUGUAAACCACUGGACAAAUGGAGUUAUAAUCAUAAUGUGACAUCAUGCUAGACGCAGUGUGCUUCAUAAAAAAGGACAGGACGACGUCCCUGCCCUGGUGAAUAAAUACAUCAGCCAGUUGAGAUGCUCACAGAAGACCCCUGACCAAGAGAAAAUGUUCAUUGUAGGUACACUACACUAAAUUUAUGAGACUAUUGGAGACUUUUAUACAGAGAAAGUAUUUAAGAAAGUAUUAUCAAUUUUAAGAAUAGAACUUUGAAAAUGUAUGUUGUUUUUAAAUAAUAAUACAAAAUUAGUGUUUAUCAAAAAGUAGCUCUAUAUGGAAAAAAGUGAAUGCCUUGUCAAUAAAGUUUAAUUUAGUGUAAACCAAAUGGAUCCCAUUUCUGGUUUCUCUCUGUGCACAGUGAAAUUAUCCACCUGCUGUAAGUACACAAGAGUGGCAUCUAGUGGCCACCAGCAUAAACUACAGCUCCUUGAAAGAUCAAAUCACAGACAGCCUGUCUUUUCAUCCAUUUUGCGUCUUAUCAAAUUUCCAGAUUUCAUUAUUUAUUUUUAAUGGAGACUUAUAUGGAGUUGUCCAGAUCUGGUCUUGUUGAGUUAGGAUGUUAAACAACAAUAAUAACAAAUACCACCUACUUUCUAACGACAAGAUAGAAUAUAAUCUCAGAAUAAAGGAAAGGUACUUCAAAUGGCAAAUAUUUAGCUUUAUAAAAAAUGUACCAUAUUGUCUUUUCUUUCCUCAGUAGGGAAAUGAGACCUGGAAAACUUGAUGGCCAGGUACCAGUGCACAGCCCGAUCAUUAGGAACUGCUACACAGUUGACAAAUUCUUUCUAUAGCAUCCUCUGCUUAGUACUCCCAGCAGUGGGAGAGGUGCCCCCUCCCACUACCUCUGUCCAGCCUGGCUAGGUAGGAGGUUUCUCUUCAAGUGAGAGUAAAAUACACAGCCUCUACCCAGGGUUCUUGAUUUUGGCCUGGGGUGGGUGUCUCCAAGAAAAGUCUAAACCCUUUGUUAUUUUGAUGUGUGAAAGCAGCUCUCAAAUCCCCAGUGCAAACCUCCUUGAAAUCUCUUCCCUAAACCCCGUUUUCCUUCAACCAGUAUUUACUCUCAGCUGGCAGAGCAAUAAAGUACAUUUUAUGCCUUCCAGUCAUAAAAUGUCUGAUUGCUACAAAGUUAAGAUUAUAGACAUGCAGGAAAAUAUCCCGUGAAAGAUUAGAAAUCUGAAAACUUCUUUCCCUAGGCUAACCAACUUAGAGCAUUACAGAGGUUUAUGAUUCAACUGCAUGGCAGACAGGCAGCAGGCACCUCAGGGCUGGAGUCUCUUAUAUUACAAAUUAUCUCACUUGUAGCUCUAGGUCAAAUCUCCUCCCCCACGCCUCCUGACUCAAUGAAUAAUGCUGAGCCCUUUCAAUGAUCACACUCCAUUACUGAUUUAAGUUUCUUGUUCUUGGGGUGCUUUCAACUGGAACAGAUGGAUUAGUGUGCCUGCCCUUUAAUUCGUUUUAGCUUUGAGUAAUUAAAAGGAAAAAAAACCACACAACACGAAUUAUCAACAGUGGUGAAUAAGACGAUUUGUUCCUCUUUGGUGUGAAAACCUGAGAGUAGGCAUUCUAGGGCUGGUAGGAUGUUCCAGACAAUGCUAGGAACCUAGGCUCCUUCUGUCUUGUUCCACCAUGCAUGGUUUCCACUCUCUAGGUCACUCUAUGGCCCAAUAAGACUUCUGUUGCUCCAGCCAUUACAUCCACAUUCUGGCCAGAUGAAAGGAGGAAAAGCAAAGAAUAGUAUUCGCUCCCUAUUUAAGGACAGUUCCCAGACAUUACACCCACUUUUUUGGUUUGUUUUGUUUUGUUUUGUUUUGGGUUUGUUUGUUUUGUCUAGCACUGCACCUGCAGCAUAAGGAGGUUUCCAGGCUAAGGGCCAAAUCAGAGCUACAGCUGCCAGCCUACGUCACAGCCACAACCUCACAGGAUCCGAGCCACAUCUGGGACCUACACCAUAGCUCACAGCAAUGCCAGAUCCUUAACUCACUGAUGGAGGCCAGGGAUAGAACCUGCAGCCUCACGGUUACUACUCAGAUUCCUUUCCACUGCUCCGCAAUGGAAACUCCUCCAUCCACCCCACCCCACCCCACUUUUACUGGCCAUUCCUAGCUCUAAGGAAGGCUGCGUUGUAAUUGUUCUGAUAAUAAGUGAAAGGGAAACCACGAUUGGAACAACCAGUUUUGUUGACAACUAGCUUGUGACACAUGUACAAGAUCAGAUACAGAUCAAAUGAGCACUAAUCUAUCCUGGUGGUCAGACUCUUGGAAAACCACUAAAUACCAAAUUGUGUAGGACUCCACAUCUCAAAUUUCCUAAAACAAGAUCAACGACUAUUACCAGUGGGCAAAAUUGGGACCAACGAGAACAUACCCAAUAGAAUCACGACUGUCCAAGCAAAAGGGUUGUUUUAACUCAGAUCAGUGUUUCUCUGCAGGAGUUCUUUCCCAGCAUUUCUCAGAAAUAUUACGUUUUUACAGAGCCCGAAUCUUAAUAAACGUUGAGGAAUCUAGAAACCUGGGAAAACUAAUCUGUGAGAAUUAAAACUUAAUGAUCAACAUAGAGCUGUCACUUGUUCAAAGAAAUCCACCAAUCCCAAAUCAAAAGUGACACUAGAACACACUAAAGCAUGUAUUGGAAAAAUCAAGGUUGACAGGUGCUGAAUGGAAGGGAGCAAGAAGGAGAGAAGCAGUCACAAUACAAUCAGCGGUGCCUGUACCCGUUGCCACCUUCUAAGCAGAGUGUCCUGGGGCUGGCUCACACAAGAGAUAGAGAGCCAGCCAGAAAGAGCAUCUCUUUCUGACCCUCGGUGACAUCACACCAGUAACUUGAAAUUGACCCAAGUGGGAAUAUUUAUACCUCCUCUCUCGGAAAUUGGCAAAAACUACAUGUCACAACGGUUUUUUUCUUCCCAGAGAGUCAGUGUACCAGUACUCACUGGUCCUAAGUGUGUGUUUGUGGCUUGGUCUCUUUCUAACGGUAAGUCACUUUUACAAAUAAAAUAAAUCUAGGUUCAUACACAUAAGGUACUUAUACGUAUCCUAUGAGUGGUGUCAGAAAACAUCGCAAACUUUGGAGGCAAAAUAAGACCUAAUAUUGGCAAUUUCAAUGCCUAAGUCUGUGUAGUGCUAGGACACUUGCUAGUGGGUCUGAACAUUAAUGUUAUUUGAAAACUUCCCAAUAAUGAAGGCUGACAUUUCCGAGGGUCUGAGUACUCACCAUAGGAUGCAGUUCUUUGUAAAUACUUCACAGAAGAGAUGUGAAAAGAAAAAGAUGUGAUUUGUUGUAGAACACUGCAACAUUGAAAUCAGAGACUCUUCUAAAAUCUGGCCAGAGCAACUUUUUUUUUUUUUUUUUUUUUUUUUUUGGAAACCCAAGGGCUGGAUUUAUUUGCCACUAUUCAUUUUCUUUUUUAUUUUAUUUUUUUAUCUUUUGGACUUUUUAGGGCUGUACAUGCAGCAUAUGGAAGUUCCCAGGCUAGGGGUCAAAUCAGAGCUGUAGCCUCUAACCUACACCACAGCCACAGUAAUGCCAGAUCCUUAACCCACUGAGCGAGGCCAGGGAUCGAACCCAUGU